AAGGCAGCAAUGUCCAAGUGAAGGAAGCGGUGUAGCAAAGCCAUUGAGCCUACGAACAGAAACCGGAUACAAGGCUAAACGGAGGGUGAGGUUGCCUGACAAACCUAAGCCCAAAAGGCAAACAUAAUACCGAAGCAGUAAAUCCGGAGGUUGUGUGGUGAAAGAACUGUGU
rfam:Synergistes jonesii strain 78-1 contig_37, whole genome shotgun sequence.